GACAGAGGUGCCGAGCGUUAGGCGGAAUCACUGGGCUUAAAGCGUGUGUAGGCGGAUCUGUAAGUACCUUGUGAAAUCCCACGGCUCAACCGUGGAACUGCUUGGUAUACUGCGGGUCUUGAGCCACUUAGGGGCAAGUGGAACAAACGGUGGAGCGGUGAAAUGCGUAGAUAUCGUUUGGAACGCCAAUGGUGAAAACAACUUGCUGGGGGUGUGCUGACGCUGAGACACGAAAGCCAGGGGAGCAAACGGGG
rnacentral:rRNA from 1 species